CAGUCGCCGCGGGAAUACGUAGGGGCCAAGCGUUGUCCGGAGUUACUGGGCGUAAAGCGUGUGCAGGCGGCUCAUUGCGCCCGGCGUGAAAGCCCCCGGCUCAACCGGGGAGGGUCGUCGGGGACGGGUGAGCUUGAGGGAUGCAGGGGCUGGUGGAAUUCCCGGUGUAGUGGUGAAAUGCGUAGAGAUCGGGAGGAACACCCGUGGCGAAGGCGGCCAGCUGGGCAUCACCUGACGCUGAGACACGAAGGCGUGGGGAGCGAACGGGAUUAGAUACCCGCGUAGUCCCUGUCUCUUAUAC
rnacentral:rRNA from 1 species